ACUAGCUCUAUUUCCAACAGUUCCAAGGCCUGUGCCGUCUGCCUUAGACAGAACAGUUGCAGCAAAUAAGGGGGAAGUAUGGAGCACAGGUUAGUAGGAAUCAGAGUGGGGUUUGAUCUUAAGAGGAUUUCAAUUUAAGAUUAUGAAGUUUAGGGAGCCAAGAUAGGAUGUGGGCUGAAAUCCUUGUAUAGAGAAGAGCAAAGAGAAGACUGGGAAGGCAGAGAUCCUAGCUGUGAGAGUGAUGAACACUCCUCCAAAUGAUUUGACAAACACUGCUGCUUAUUACCCAAAAUGACAUUACUUCGUGAAAUGCUUUGCCCUAAGCCUUCUGAGACUGCCACUGCAGAAUUGUGCAGUUUCUGCUCAUCGGUGUUCCCCAAAGACUGACCAAUGUGAUGGUGCCAUCAAUACCAUAAUCUGGAUAUAAGUGGCCUGUAGUGCUGUGUGAAGUUGGAUAAGAAAAUGCAUUUAAUAAUUCAGUUCAAUGCUGUCAAAGAAGAAUUUUACACUGAGGAAUAACCAAAGGAGAUGAUUUGUUGGUAAAAGCCAAGGGCUUCAUGUUCCCCAAAAAUCUAAGAACAAGUGAAGACAUGGGAGUCACCUAUUUUAACAAAGCUGAUGAUGCUCGCCUGGAGCUACAUCCAAUGUUUCAAUGGCCUUCUGAAGUUCUACAGUGGAAUCUUGUGAAUCAAGCAAUACAACUAAGAAGAUAAAGAAAACAAAAAUCCUUGUACUUUGUCACACUGGAAUUACAACUAUACCAGUUUAUCUUGCUAUCUUAAGCAUACAAAAAGUACUAUGUAGAUUAUUUUAUUGCCAUUAAUGGAAAACCAAUGAGUUCUGAUUACAAAUCUGAGUUCU